rnacentral:tRNA from 1 species
GAGCCGAUAGCUCAGUUGGUAGAGCACUGCCCUUUUAAGGCAGGUGUCCUGGGUUCGAGUCCCAGUCGGCUCA